UAAUAGUAUGACAUCGUAAAGUAAACAAACAAGAUGUUACAUACAUCCCGAACUAGUUACGACAGUUACGUUACAAAGGACUACGUGUUGUAUCUAAAACACACUCCGUAGACGUAGUUUUGAAACGUUUUUUGACCUUUCCACUACAUAAGUUCUUAUUUAACACCGUUUAACGUUCUCGAUGUGUACUCCGUCUGACCUUCUUCAUGUACGUUCUCUACUUUCUCAACCUGGUCCCCCGGAUACUCAUGAACCUACGUUAACUGGGUUCCGUCACCACGUUCCGGAUAAAGGUACUUGAGGGUUUCACACUAAACGAAGAAUUGUUGUCGACACUUCACAAGUUGUUCAUUCAACAGUCAUGACAUCGUAAAGUCGACACUUCACUAAAGUAUAACAGUCAUGACAUCGUAAUAGAUUGACAUCAAUAAAGUAUCCAUAUAUGAACUACGGUCUCUUUACGGAUAUCAAUGAACAGAAUUCUUCUAGUUCCUGGUUAAUUACUGAUCCAAAAUAUCGUUCUUAGACCUUAGACUCCUCUACACACCAGUUUAAACAGGUUUUUAAUCUUUUUUUUGACCUGUUUUUAUAAUUGUACAGGUUGUUGACGUGACGUAAUGGUCGACCUGUUGUGUAUAAAGUACAAUUUCCGUACCAACCCCUCAUACUACACUUGUAUGUCUUCCUCCUCACAAGAACAUCCCGUACCGUCGAGAGACCUUAAGGUACAUCUGUACCUCAACGUACAAAUUCUGUACUUUCUUAAUUUGGUCUCCUACAACAGUUGUUCACGAUGUCGUAUCUACGAAAGUCUCGACGAAUACCGUUCUAGUAUUACGGUACAUCACUAGGAUCUCACACCGGAUUUUGAUUACCCGGAGUUUACGACGGUGGUGUGAUACUCUUCUUUCAACCAUCCGGACCUUUCUUCUCUUUCUUCUUGGGUGAUCUCCUCCUGUUACCUUGAUCCUACUCGUCUGUACCGUAAUAACCUGUGACGUCACACACGUUAGUUGGUCCUGUGUUGUUUUCUUUCACGGGACUUGAUCCAUCUCCUGUUGGUUGUCGUCGUGUACUCCGUCCUCGUCUUGUUCUAGGUCGUCGUCUUGUUAUAGGUCGUCGUCUUCUCCUUCGUCGUCUUGUACACGUUUGUUGUCUUGUACACGGUUAAGUCCAACACGAAGGUCUUUGUGUUGUUUCUUGAUUUGAUGGUCAGUUCUCUUCCGGGUCAACGUUCUUUUUCCGUACAGGUGUUCACCCGUCUUCAUGUAGAUUAUACUAUAGAAGAAGAUACUUAAUACUAGAACGAAGUAGAUGAUACUAACUCUAAAAUGUCCUGGUUCGAUAUCGAUGAGUUGUUAGAGUUUGUCGUCACGGUCGAGGAGAUGGUCUUUCGGUCAAGUAACGUUUGACGUCUCUACGGGACGGUCGAGGUUCUUCGGUGUGAUGACGAUGUGAUCCAAACUUCUCUUCCUUCUUUCACUUUUUUUGAUUCCUCUUGUUUCGGGGUUGUUGAGUCUUCACUUCUCGAUG
rnacentral:rRNA from 1 species